ACACGGGAGAGGAGGUGGUCCUGAAGUGAAUUCUCUUCGGACGCGUGAGGUGACUGUCCGCUAGUCGCCCGAUCAGUCGGACGGAUUGCUGAUCCGCCCGCUGGCCUGCCGGUCCACCCGGCUGGGCGGCGAGCGAAUCUCCGGCAGUCACCGCAGCCCGUGGGAGCCGCGACCUCGUCCUUCGCGGCAGGGCCCCUGUCAGGGGUCCA
rnacentral:sRNA from 1 species